GUGACUGUUUUGUUUCCACAAAGUUUGAAUUAUUUUCUUCACUUCAUUUGAGAAAUAUAGGUGGAUUGAGAGACAUUCUUCAUUCAAACAAAAGUUUAACAGCUAUUUCUAAAACACAUAUCAUCUGAAGCUAUGGAAGUAGUUUGUGACUGUUUUGUUUCCACAAAGUUUGAAUUAUUUUCUUCACUUCAUUUGAGAAAUAUAGGUGGAUUGAGAGACAUUCUUCAUUCAAACAAAAGUUUAACAGCUAUUUCUAAAACACAUAUCAUAUGUGCACUGCGAGUCCUCGAACAGCUCCACGCGUCUCCAGCUCUGCCCAAGCCCGAGCCACGCGACGGGCUGUGAUCGCGCACGGACCAGACGAGAGCUCUUCAACUGUGUGAUCCAAAUGAAUUUGAGAACACCUAUUUACUGCUCCGCCCUGUGUCCUGCUGGCCAGAAGUGCCCAUCAAUUUCAAAGGCCUCUGUGUGACUGGAUUGAGGAAGCCAAGAGCAGGGAGAAGAAUAGAUCCAGGUCUUCCCAUUACUCCAAAAUGGAGCCUAGCCCUCUGGCAGCACAGUCGGCCAGCUGGGACCACGGUGGCCAUUACUGGAAGUGUGAUCAUCUGCCCUCUCUCCUCAGUGCCCUUGGAAUAUGUGCUCUUCUGUCUGGCUUCAAUUUCUCUUACUUCUUUGUGUGUGAAGAGUCUUCCUUUCAAUCAGCAAACUCUUCCUGCACACUAUAAAGCCCACUUUGGUCUUCAGAAUCUUUCAGUGCCUGAGCUUGUCAGUAUGAGGUUUCUCUUUCUUUAUUUCCAAAUGUCCUGCUUUCUUUGUGUGCAACUUCUUAAGAAUUUGGCAAAGUAAACAACAAAGCAGCAAUAUUUCAUAGGGUUUAAACUUCCCUUUGGUCCUGGAUAGAAAGGAUUUUUUUUUUUUUUUUGAGACGGAGUUUUGCUCUUGUAGCACUGGCUAGAGUGCAAUGGCGCAAUCUUGGCUCACUGCAACCUCUGCCUCCUGGGUUCAAGGGAUUCUCCUGCCUCAGCCUUCCGAGUAGCUGGGAUUACAGGCACCCACCACCACGCUGGCUAUUUUUUUUGUAUUUCUCAGGAGAGACAGCAUUUCACCAUGUUGGUCAGGCUGGUCUCGAACUCCUGACCUCAGGUGAUCCACCCACCUUGGCUUCCCAAAGUGCUGGGAUUAUAGGCCUGCCACCUGGAUCUAUUCUUCUCCCUGCUCCUGGCUUUUUCAAUCCAGUCACAAAGAGGCCUUUGAAAUUGAUGCCUGCCACCACACCUGGCAGAAAGGAUGUUUUUGUUUCUUCUUUUUCCUGUUCCUUUCUCUGCAAUCAUCUCUCUGAGUCUCAGACAUGUGGCACUGGUUGGCUGGCAGCACCUUCUGUGUGUCUGAGCCCUUACAUAGCUUCCAGAGGAAGGGGUGCUCCGUUGGGGUCCUGCCUGCUUUUGGAGCAUUAGAAUCUCCUUUUUUGCAAGCCUCUGUCUCCCAUCAUUUAACACCCAGCUGUGUCUCUCUGCCCACUGACCAGAAUCUUUUCGCAGUAGGUGGGUUUUAAAAAGCACUCACCAGAACUCCCAAAUGCUAGGGUCUCAUGGCCCCUCAAAAACUCAUUACCUUCUCUUUGGGAUCCUCAGACCUGGCAGGAACCUCACAUAGGAAGAAAGGCAGCCAGGGAGCAGGCAGUGAGGACAGGUUGUAAUCAGGCAGUUCUGGCUGGGCAUAAAGUCUGCUCCUGCUGAAGGCAAGCUGCUCAACACUGCACUGGACAUCCUCCAUGUGUGGAAUCUAGGCAAAGCAGCUCUGUCCUCUAUUAACAAAUAACUGAGCCUGGGCAAUCUGUUACUUCAACUGUCCUUUCAAGCCAGGCUUUGCAGUAACAGGAAUUUGAGGUCCAGCAUGCAGAGACAGACCUAAGUGUGAGCCUCUGCUACUUAUGAGCUGUGUGACCUGGGGCAAAUUACUUAACCUCUCUAUACCCUAUUCCCUUCACUUGUGCAAUAAGAAUAAAUAAUACCACACACUUCGGAGGCAUGGCGUAAGACUCAAAUGACUAAUAUAGGGAUAGUUCAGGGGCAGAUACACGGUUGGAAAGCACACUAGAAAUAUCAGUAGAAUCUGAAUUUUCCCCUACCUGCCUCCUUGUUUUCACUACAAAUAACAUUUCCUUUCCUGCUUUUAAGUCAAGAGGGGAACACACUGAUUCUUUAGCAGACAGUUUAGCACACACUUCAAGCCAGAGAGUGUACCAGCAAUGUGGAUUCAGAAAUAAAUAUGAUGGGAGCCCUGCUCUCACAGGAUGGGGUUGGGGGUGGGGGAUAAAGUCCCAAGGGAGUUGGACAGUCUCCAGAUGGGUAGUCACUGCUGGGCAGAAACACAUGAGGGAAGUGUCAGGAGCCCGAAAGAAGCUCUGAACAGGUUGGAACACGUUUUCUGGAGGAUGGGACAUUGAAACUGAAUCACCUACAAUGUUGAAGGCAGAUGGUAACCUAAGAAAGCCUAGUCCCAGAGGAAAUGCAAGUUCACUGAAAUCUAAGGGGGGAAAAAAGACACGAAAAACCAACAAGUGCAAAGCAGUGUGGUGCAGAAUGUGGUGGCAGAGCAACAACCACUCUCAGCAAAAUCCUCAUUAAUUCAUGCCAGUGUGUUCAAGUUCUUAGUGCGUCUCAAGAAAAAAUAUCUCAGGUUCGAAUUGCUGCAAAGUUUUUCAAGCACAUCCACCGAUAGCAAGACCCACUGGAGGCAGAUCAGCGAUGAGUCUGAGGGCGGCACAAAGGGUGCUACCAGGUGAUCACCAGUCCUUCCUCCUCAUCCUUAUUCAUUCCUUAGACAUCUUGAUAUUAGAAAUUAUUGGUUUGUGAAUGCACCUAUUGUUAACUCUUUCAAUAUACAAAUACAUGCAAACAUAUGUAUAUUCUACAUAUAUGGACAGGCACAGAUUUUUUUUUAUGUUGGGCUCCCUCAAACAGAAUUAAUCUGUGAGGGUAUAAACCCACUUCACAAUGUCCACAGUGGGGCCAAAACCGCUUUUGAGGUGAUCAACUCUAUGCUGGGAGCAGGGGAGUUCUGGGCUGAACUCAAAGAUGCUUUUCAGCUCUAAAGUACCAUCAUCAUCUUCAUCCUCAUCUUCCUUUUCUCUUAAGUGCCCAGAAUGUGCCAGGCUCUGUGCUGUUUACAGGGUUUAUAUUCUCACAAAAAUCUCAAAAGCCAAUUGCCAGAAUUUCUCUAAAGUUUCUUAAUUGGUUUGGCACAAGCUGGAAAUGGUAGUGCUUGGAUUUGAAAGCAGGCCCAUUUGCCUGGCUUUGAAGUUUUUUUUUUAUGUUUUUGGUGCUUGUUUUUACCAUACUACGCAUCUCUUAAAUUCUUUGUCCCUAAAAUGGGGGAGGGGGCAAUAAUGCCAACCUCAUGGGAUUGUUUUGGCAAUUAAAUAACAAUGUAAAAUUCUUUUUGUAAAAUUUAAAGAGCCAUGCACAUAUAACAUUACUAUUAUUUUGGCUUCAUGUGAUUUUUUUUUUUUUCUGUAACAAAUUUACUUAAAUAUCUAGAUAAUGACUUCAAGAAAAUUGUCUUCCUUUGUAAUUCUACAUAUUUUAUUUUUAAAUAAUUUUAGACUUAUGAGUGUUUUAAAGAUAGUACAAAGAGUUCCCAUAUAUCCUUUAUUCAGCUUCUACUAAUGUUAAUAACUUAAAUAACCAUGGUACAGUGAUCUGAACCAGGAAACUAACAUUAAUUCAACACUGAUCUAGAGACAUCAUUUCUAUUUCCCUAUUGUUCCACAGUUCAAUCGAGGAUCUCACAUUGCACAUAGUUGUCCUGUAUCUACAGUCUCUGCUAAUCAAGGACAGCUCCUCAGUCUUCAGCACCUGGGCUUUUACAAAGAGCACUGCAAAGAAGCCAACUGCUGGUUCUCCACUCUGAAUGAUCAUCGCUUCCCAUUUGGAAGACAAAGAUGGUUACUGGCCUUGGCAUAUUAACCCUGGAGCUGCCUCCUCAGGAAGUGAAGAGUUGGGCUUGGCUGGCUGGUAUAGCAGCAGCGACAGCAGCAGAGACAGCAUGGCCUGCUCAGAAGGGGCGCCCUAGUUGCCAAGGAUGAGGGCACUGGCUUUGCACUCUUUGAGACUGGGGCUUUACCUAACAAACACUUGCAAAACUUAUUACCCCUCCAGUCCUCAAGUUUCCUUGUACCUAUAGAAUAGGAAUGUUAAAACUUACUUCACACAACUGUUUUGAGGAUGAAUUGGCUAUUUGAAAACUUGGGCACUGGAAGAAGUCCAGUGAAGGACAGUGUCACUUCCGCUGUUCACCCUUUCAUGCUUAAUUAACAUUUAAUUAAUCAAAUAUGUUGUUUCUUUUUGUAUUUUUUUAACUGAGAUAAAUGUAGAUUUACAUAUAGUUGUAGAAAUAAUACAGAAUUAUCCCGUGUACCCCUUACCUAGUUACCCCCAAUGGUAACAUCUUGCAAUAUUAUACCACAAUGUCACAACCAGGAUAUUCAGAUAGAUGUCAUCCACUGAUCUUACUCAAAAUUCACUCAUUUUCCAUACAGUCCUUUGAUUGUGUGGUAGUUCUGUGAAAUUUCAUCCCAUCUGUAGUUUUCAUGUAAUCAUCGCCACAGUCAAGGCACAGAAUGCUUCACUUCCAUCACUAUAAGGAACCCUUGUGUUGCCCUUUUAUAACCACACCCACUUCUCUCCUGUCUCCCAAACUCCAUCUCUAAUCCCUGUUAACCACUGAUAUGUUCCUUACUUACACAAUUUUAUCAUUUCAAGAAAGUUACAGAUAUUGAAUCACAUAGUAUGUAACCUUUUAGGAUUGGUGUUUUUCACUCAGCAUUAUUCCCUGGAGAUCAUCCAAGUUGUUGCACGAAUGAUUUGUUUCUUUUAUUGCUGGGGAGUAGUCUAUGGUAUGGAUGUAUCACAGUUUAAUUAUUCGCCCCUUGAAGGACAUUUGGGUGGUUUCUAGUUUCUGGCUAUUGUAAAUGAAACUGUGAUGAACGUUUGUGUACAGGUUUCUGUGUGAACACAAGUUUUCAUUUCUCUGGGAUAAAUGCCUGUGAGUGCAACUGCUGGGUCAUAUGGCAAUUGCAUGUUUAGUUUUACAAGAAACUGCCAAACUGCUUUCCAGAGUGGCUGUGCCAUUUUAAAUUCCCUCCAGCAAUUAUAAGAGGUGCAGUUUCUCGGCAUUCCUUCCAAAAUUUGAUGGUGUUGCCAUUUUUUAUCUUAGCCAUUUUGGCAGGUGUGUAGUAAUAUCUUAUUGUGGGUUUUACGUUGCAUUUCCCUAAUUGUUAAUGUUGUUAAAUAUUUUCUCAUGUGCUUAUCCGCUAUCUGUGUAU
rnacentral:lncRNA from 10 species